rnacentral:lncRNA from 1 species
GAGUCCUGUUUCAACUAUAAUAAGAGACUUUUUGGUAGUGCAUACAAUUGAAAAUAAAAUUUCAUUACAUAUCUUUUAAUCCAUACGAAAUAGAAAUUGUCAUCAAUAAAUAAAGUUGCACUAAAAUACGCAAAUUAAUCAACUGUGCUAUCUUGUGGCAUCAAUAACACCAUCCUUCAUCAAGUCGGAACAUAUAAGUUCCAGCAACAUAGAAAAAACGUUACAUGAUAUCC